CUUAAGAACUGGGAGAACAGCUGAGUCUUGAAGGAGCUAAACUGGGAAAGGGCAGAGGUAAUGCUGAGGAAUCCCUGCAAGCCUCAGUCUGGAGACAGCAAAUCUAAGUUUAAAAUGGGCAGCUUACCAUCACAGGGGGCGGUCAGCUCAACACAGCGCAUGUGCCAACAGGACACCACUGUCUGCAUUAAGCUCUUAGCCCAAAGUGCAGGUUACUGUCCUAGGCGUUGAUGUUCCAACACGUUUUUCUUCUGGACUGAGUACCACAAGGUACCUACUGGUUUGCAGUGUAAGUUCAAAACGGACUUACACUGACGCGAAGCUUCUUGUCAGAAAAAACUCUUCCUCUGAAGGGUCUUGCUUAGUUGCCCAGUGUGGGCUUGAACUUGCAGUCCUCCAGCCUCAUCUUCUGAGUAGUUUCAAAUACAGGCUUUUCAAGUCACUAUGCAAUGAUUAUCGGUACGCCAAGGACAGUAAGUCAGAUACUGGAGAAAAGGAGGUAUGAGAAACAUCUUUUAUUUCUUCUAAAGAGGUGAAAAUAAGUAAGUUUUUUUUUUAUAUUUCUCACUUGUAAGAUUUUUAAACUCUUAAAAAUGCAAUCUCCUCUUUUCAAAGCACAUGCCAUCUUUUAAAAAAAAUCUUAGCAAUAUACAUUUGCACUCAAACAAAAACAUGCAGUGCUAUUUGUCUUCUGACAAAAUUCUGCAUUAAAACCCACGCGACUUUCGGCAAAUAUCCCCCCUUUAUUUAGGGACUCCAACCACAAACAUUCAGUGCAAUUAUUUAUGUUUCUUAUUUCCGUAGGAAACACAGGACCAAGUGAUGUCUUCUGACUACAACUGUUUCCUGAUGGUUGAGCAACAGUCUCCCUCUGCUUUACUGGAAAGUACUCUCUUUAAUCUGCUGAUCUAAGGUACAACUAGGAUUCAGGAGAACUCGAGG